rnacentral:rRNA from 1 species
UGUUUCGGCUAGGGGGCCAUCCCGGCUUACCAACCCGAUGCAAACUGCGAAUACCGGAGAAUGUUAUCACGGGAGACACACGGCGGGUGCUAACGUCCGUCGUGAAGAGGGAAACAACCCAGACCGCCAGCUAAGGUCCCAAAGUCAUGGUUAAGUGGGAAACGAUGUGGGAAGGCCCAGACAGCCAGGAUGUUGGCUUAGAAGCAGCCAUCAUUUAAAGAAAGCGUAAUAGCUCACUGGUCGAGUCGGCCUGCGCGGAAGAUGUAACGGGGCUAAACCAUGCACCGAAGCUGCGGCAGCGAACGUAUCACUUAAAGCGAUUCAGCGGGUUACGAUUGACGGAGCGAAGCGACGUCAAAGCGUAUACAAAGUCGAGUCGGUUUAAGGAUACGUUCGUUGGGUAGGGGAGCGUUCUGUAAGCCUGUGAAGGUGUGUCGUGAGGCAUGCUGGA